rnacentral:RNase_P_RNA from 2 species
AUAGUGCUUCGGUUUGUCGCUUUGCAAAUAAGUAAAGAGGAAAGUCCGGGCAACAUAGAGCACCAUACUUCCUAACGGGAAGCUGUUCGUGAGGGCAGGGUAGUGUAACAGAAAAUAACCGCUUCGGGCAACUGAAGUAAGGGUGAAAAGGUGAGGUAAGAGCUUACCGGUAUUUAUGGCAACAUAGAUAGCCGUACAUCCUAUGGGUUGCAAGAUCAUGUAUACCGGCGUAUGUAGGACUGCUCGUCUGAUGUCGGGGGGUAGAUCGCUUGAGGUAGUUGGUGACAACUGUCCCAGAUAAAUGACAAACACCUUGCAUGCAGGGUACAGAACCCGGCUUACAGAAGCACUGUUUUU